AGAACCGUGUGCUUUCCAUGGCAGAUUCUGGACUGCAGAGGGAGAUGAACUUCGGGAGGGAUGUGCUAGUGAGCGGCUCCAGAGAAGCCUGUGGAUUGUCUUAUGCAUUACCUCUGACUGACAUGCAUGCUUAGACAGCAGAAGCACUGCUGAACUACUACGCUCAAGGAAAACAUCUGCAGCAGACUCAGGUGAGGGGAACCAUUCUGGCAGGUUCAGCUUUGGCUUUAGCACU
rnacentral:lncRNA from 1 species